rnacentral:rRNA from 1 species
GGGUUGUGAGGUUAAGCGACUAAGCGUACACGGUGGAUGCCCUGGCAGUCAGAGGCGAUGAAGGACGUGCUAAUCUGCGAUAAGCGUCGGUAAGGUGAUAUGAACCGUUAUAACCGGCGAUUUCCGAAUGGGGAAACCCAGUGUGUUUCGACACACUAUCAUUAACUGAAUCCAUAGGUUAAUGAGGCGAACCGGGGGAACUGAAACAUCUAAGUACCCCGAGGAAAAGAAAUCAACCGAGAUUCCCCCAGUAGCGGCGAGCGAACGGGGAGCAGCCCAGAGCCUGAAUCAGUGUGUGUGUUAGUGGAAGCGUCUGGAAAGGCGCGCGAUACAGGGUGACAGCCCCGUACACAAAAAUGCACAUGCUGUGAGCUCGAUGAGUAGGGCGGGACACGUGGUAUCCUGUCUGAAUAUGGGGGGACCAUCCUCCAAGGCUAAAUACUCCUGACUGACCGAUAGUGAACCAGUACCGUGAGGGAAAGGCGAAAAGAACCCCGGCGAGGGGAGUGAAAAAGAACCUGAAACCGUGUACGUACAAGCAGUGGGAGCACGCUUAGGCGUGUGACUGCGUACCUUUUGUAUAAUGGGUCAGCGACUUAUAUUCUGUAGCAAGGUUAACCGAAUAGGGGAGCCGAAGGGAAACCGAGUCUUAACUGGGCGUUAAGUUGCAGGGUAUAGACCCGAAACCCGGUGAUCUAGCCAUGGGCAGGUUGAAGGUUGGGUAACACUAACUGGAGGACCGAACCGACUAAUGUUGAAAAAUUAGCGGAUGACUUGUGGCUGGGGGUGAAAGGCCAAUCAAACCGGGAGAUAGCUGGUUCUCCCCGAAAGCUAUUUAGGUAGCGCCUCGUGAAUUCAUCUCCGGGGGUAGAGCACUGUUUCGGCAAGGGGGUCAUCCCGACUUACCAACCCGAUGCAAACUGCGAAUACCGGAGAAUGUUAUCACGGGAGACACACGGCGGGUGCUAACGUCCGUCGUGAAGAGGGAAACAACCCAGACCGCCAGCUAAGGUCCCAAAGUCAUGGUUAAGUGGGAAACGAUGUGGGAAGGCCCAGACAGCCAGGAUGUUGGCUUAGAAGCAGCCAUCAUUUAAAGAAAGCGUAAUAGCUCACUGGUCGAGUCGGCCUGCGCGGAAGAUGUAACGGGGCUAAACCAUGCACCGAAGCUGCGGCAGCGACGCUUAUGCGUUGUUGGGUAGGGGAGCGUUCUGUAAGCCUGUGAAGGUGUACUGUGAGGUAUGCUGGAGGUAUCAGAAGUGCGAAUGCUGACAUAAGUAACGAUAAAGCGGGUGAAAAACCCGCUCGCCGGAAGACCAAGGGUUCCUGUCCAACGUUAAUCGGGGCAGGGUGAGUCGACCCCUAAGGCGAGGCCGAAAGGCGUAGUCGAUGGGAAACAGGUUAAUAUUCCUGUACUUGGUGUUACUGCGAAGGGGGGACGGAGAAGGCUAUGUUGGCCGGGCGACGGUUGUCCCGGUUUAAGCGUGUAGGCUGGUUUUCCAGGCAAAUCCGGAAAAUCAAGGCUGAGGCGUGAUGACGAGGCACUACGGUGCUGAAGCAACAAAUGCCCUGCUUCCAGGAAAAGCCUCUAAGCAUCAGGUAACAUCAAAUCGUACCCCAAACCGACACAGGUGGUCAGGUAGAGAAUACCAAGGCGCUUGAGAGAACUCGGGUGAAGGAACUAGGCAAAAUGGUGCCGUAACUUCGGGAGAAGGCACGCUGAUAUGUAGGUGAAGUCCCUCGCGGAUGGAGCUGAAAUCAGUCGAAGAUACCAGCUGGCUGCAACUGUUUAUUAAAAACACAGCACUGUGCAAACACGAAAGUGGACGUAUACGGUGUGACGCCUGCCCGGUGCCGGAAGGUUAAUUGAUGGGGUUAGCGCAAGCGAAGCUCUUGAUCGAAGCCCCGGUAAACGGCGGCCGUAACUAUAACGGUCCUAAGGUAGCGAAAUUCCUUGUCGGGUAAGUUCCGACCUGCACGAAUGGCGUAAUGAUGGCCAGGCUGUCUCCACCCGAGACUCAGUGAAAUUGAACUCGCUGUGAAGAUGCAGUGUACCCGCGGCAAGACGGAAAGACCCCGUGAACCUUUACUAUAGCUUGACACUGAACAUUGAGCCUUGAUGUGUAGGAUAGGUGGGAGGCUUUGAAGUGUGGACGCCAGUCUGCAUGGAGCCGACCUUGAAAUACCACCCUUUAAUGUUUGAUGUUCUAACGUUGACCCGUAAUCCGGGUUGCGGACAGUGUCUGGUGGGUAGUUUGACUGGGGCGGUCUCCUCCUAAAGAGUAACGGAGGAGCACGAAGGUUGGCUAAUCCUGGUCGGACAUCAGGAGGUUAGUGCAAUGGCAUAAGCCAGCUUGACUGCGAGCGUGACGGCGCGAGCAGGUGCGAAAGCAGGUCAUAGUGAUCCGGUGGUUCUGAAUGGAAGGGCCAUCGCUCAACGGAUAAAAGGUACUCCGGGGAUAACAGGCUGAUACCGCCCAAGAGUUCAUAUCGACGGCGGUGUUUGGCACCUCGAUGUCGGCUCAUCACAUCCUGGGGCUGAAGUAGGUCCCAAGGGUAUGGCUGUUCGCCAUUUAAAGUGGUACGCGAGCUGGGUUUAGAACGUCGUGAGACAGUUCGGUCCCUAUCUGCCGUGGGCGCUGGAGAACUGAGGGGGGCUGCUCCUAGUACGAGAGGACCGGAGUGGACGCAUCACUGGUGUUCGGGUUGUCAUGCCAAUGGCACUGCCCGGUAGCUAAAUGCGGAAGAGAUAAGUGCUGAAAGCAUCUAAGCACGAAACUUGCCCCGAGAUGAGUUCUCCCUGACCCUUUAAGGGUCCUGAAGGAACGUUGAAGACGACGACGUUGAUAGGCCGGGUGUGUAAGCGCAGCGAUGCGUUGAGCUAACCGGUACUAAUGAACCGUGAGGCUUAACCUUACAACGCCGAAGCUGUU